GACGAACGCUGGCGGCGUGCUUAACACAUGCAAGUCGAACGGAAAGGCCCUGCUUUUGUGGGGUGCUCGAGUGGCGAACGGGUGAGUAACACGUGAGUAACCUGCCCUUGACUUUGGGAUAACUUCAGGCAACUGGGGCUAAUACCGGAUAGGAGCUCCUGCUGCAUGGGGGGGGUUGGACAGUUUCGGCGGUUGGGGAUGGACUCGCGGCUUAUCAGCUUGUUGGUGGGGUAGUGGCUUACCAAGGCUUUGACGGGUAGCCGGCCUGGGAGGGUGGCCAGCCACAUUGGGACUGCGAGACGGCCCAGACUCCUACGGGAGGCAGCAGGGGGGAAUAUUGUACAAUGGGCCGAAGCGUGAUGCAGCAGCGCCGCGUGCGGAAUGACGGCCUUCGGGUGGUAAACCGCUUUCGCCUGUGACGAAGCGUGAGUGACGGUAAUGGGUAAAGAAGCACCGGCUAACUACGUG
rnacentral:rRNA from 1 species